rnacentral:rRNA from 1 species
UACAGAGGUCUCAAGCGUUGUUCGGAUUCAUUGGGCGUAAAGGGUGCGUAGGCGGCGCGGUAAGUCGGGUGUGAAAUCUCGGAGCUUAACUCCGAAACUGCAUUCGAUACUGCCGUGCUUGAGGACUGGAGAGGAGACUGGAAUUUACGGUGUAGCGGUUAAAUGCGUAGAUAUCGUAAGGAAGACCAGUGGCGAAGGCGGGUCUCUGGACAGUUCCUGACGCUGAGGCACGAAGGCCAGGGGAGCAAACGGG